GGGAAGGACCCAGGGCUGUGGCCAGGAGCACCAUGGGUGGUGUUGAACUGAACAGAGAGAAGAUCACAGGUCUUCUAACAGGUCACAGAUUUAGCACAGAAGCUUUGUGGUCUAUAAAGAUUUUGAGUCUGAGAGAGAAAGAGAACACAGGUGCACUCUCACCCCAGCAGACCUGGGUCAUGCUGAGCAGCACAGCACAACAGGGAAACCCACUCAGCAAUCAGCUGCCUGCCUUGGAAAAUACAGACUGGUUUAAU